GUCUUGCCGUGUGCAUUCCUGUGAUUGCAUUAAGGAACAAGCUGGGCUGUGCUUUUUCUCUCUGCAUGUAGUUUCAGGACUUCUCCCUCUUCACAUAGUUUCUACAUGGCAUUUCCAGCAGAAUUCCUGGAUUCUUCCUGGGUUGCUCAGGGAUCCUAAGAGCUCGAGAGCAGAAACUUCCAGCCCUUCAUGAAAUUUCGGUGCAAACUAUCACUUCUGCCAUAUUCUAUUAGGGAAAAAGAGUCACAGGACCACCCUAGAUUCACAGGAAGGGGACUACACAACGUUAUGAACACCAAGAGGCGGUUCAUGGGGAGAUGCCAGUAGAGCCAGUGGCGUUCUGACAAAUUGACAGUUCUUCACUUGCUUAAGAAGAAGAAAUGGCCAAAUCCCAGGACUUAUCUCGAGUAUGCAGUUUUUGAUGUUUAACAAGGUUUGAACUCCUGUUGAAGGCUUUAUUACAUUCCUUACAUUUGAAUGGUUUCUCUCCUGUAUGAAUCAUUUGGUGUCGAAUAAGAGAGGAGCUGCGGUUGAAGGAUUUUCCACAGUUAACACAUUCAUAGAAAUUGUUUCCAAAAUGGAGUGCUGGAUUAUUACUGUCUUCACUUUUACUGACGGCUUUUCCACAUUUAUUGCUUGUGCAGGCCUUUACUUCAGCAUGAAGUUUUUGAUGCUUAGUAAGGUUUGUACGUCGGUUGAAGAAUCUCCCACAUUCACUGCAUUUAUAGGGUUUCUCUCCUGUGUGAAUGAUCUGAUGUCGAAUAAGGGAUGAACUUCGGCAGAAGGCUUUCCCACAUUGAUAACAUUCAUAGGAAUUCAUUGUAGUAUGACUUUUUUGGUGUCGAAUAUCUGUACUCAAACUCAAGUCAUUCACAUAUUCAUAUUCUGAAUGUUGCUUACCGACUGAGUCUAAAUUAAAUUUGAAUUGAGUUUUAAAC